rnacentral:rRNA from 1 species
GUCUACGGCCAAACCACCCAGAACAUGCCUGAUUUCUUCUGAUCUCAGAAUCUAAGUAGGGCUGGGCCUGGUUAGUACUUGGAUGAGAGAAAGUAUUUUUUUUUUUCUUUUGAGACAGAGCCUUGCUCUGUCACCU